rnacentral:SRP_RNA from 1 species
GCCAGGCAUGGUGGCACAUGCCUGUAAUCCCAGCUACUUGGGAGGCUGAGACAGGAGAAUCACUCUAACCCAGGAGGUGGAGGUUGCAGUGAGCUGAGAUCACGCCAUUGCACUCCAGCCUGGGUGACAGAGCGAGACUCUGUCUCAA